GAAUGUGUAAUGAUGCCUUCCCACAGUACUUUCAUCAUGAUGUUCUUCAAUCAAUUAGGUAGUGGGCUCUACCAUUUUGGGAUCCAUCCUUGACUUUACAACAAAAGACUGCUAGUUGGGUUUGGAAUAAAUAAUAAGCCAAGUAAAUCCAAGAAGUUAGGUUCUCUCACCAGCCACUUACGAGACCCAAAAUUCAACCUGGUCA
rnacentral:lncRNA from 1 species